rnacentral:lncRNA from 1 species
UUCAAACCGUCUUUGUUUUGCAUCCUCUAUAGCCACUUCUUCUAAUGCAUAUUUUGAUAAUCGAGAGAAUUGCAUUUCAUAUUCUGAUAUUGUCAUGUAUCCCUAUUCCAAGCUCAAAAACCCCAUUUUCUUCCGAUCUCUAUACAUUGGUGGUGUGUACUUAUUUGCAAAUUCCCUAAGGAAGUCAUCCCAAGUUAAGGUCAUAGGUCUAUGUUUACUUCCUAAAAUCAGAUCCCACCAAUCUAAAGCCAAUCUUCUCAACAAAGAUACAACAUAUUUCAACUUUUGCUCUGGUGUGCAAUCCAGCCUAUCCAACACCUUGUUUGUCUCCCGUAACCAUUCUUCUGCUAUCUCAGAAUCAGUGAUCCCCUCAAAUUCUGUAGCUCCUUGUUUUCUCAGCCUAUCGUAAGUUUUAUCUUUAGCCUCUAUUUCUCUAACUUUUGCCAUUUGUUGCAUUAUUGGUUAUUGGACUAGCUGAGUGGCUACCCGAUUCACUAUUUGCUGCAAAGACUCAAGAAAUUGCUGCAUUACUAGUGGCAAUUCCUGAGCACCAAGUGGUGCAUUUAUAUGCUCAACUCCAUACACAGACUCAGACUCACUUAGGUCAGCAGGAUUCUCGAUUGUCCCUCUCUACUCAUCCUAUUAAAAAUACAAACACUUAUUUUUAAUUCUUGCAUUCAUAUGCAUCCCUAACAUGUAUAUGCAUUCAUGCCUUUAAAUGCUUUUACAAUUCUAUCCCGAUAAAUUUUAAACCGUGCUCUGAUACCACUAAAUGUAACAUCUGUAAAGGAUGUCAGGUAUACAUUGUAUGCAAAAUGACUGAUACAUAAAAU